AUUGAACGCUGGCGGAAUGCUUUACACAUGCAAGUCGAACGGUAGAGGGGGCAACCCCUUGAGAGUGGCGAACGGGUGAGUAAUAUAUCGGAACGUGCCCAGUCGUGGGGGAUAACGUAGCGAAAGUUACGCUAAUACCGCAUACGAUCUAAGGAUGAAAGCGGGGGACUCGCAAGAGCCUCGCGCGAUUGGAGCGGCCGAUAUCAGAUUAGGUAGUUGGUGGGGUAAAGGCUCACCAAGCCAACGAUCUGUAGCUGGUCUGAGAGGACGACCAGCCACACUGGAACUGAGACACGGUCCAGACUCCUACGGGAGGCAGCAGUGGGGAAUUUUGGACAAUGGACGCAAGUCUGAUCCAGCCAUUCCGCGUGCAGGAUGAAGGCCCUCGGGUUGUAAACUGCUUUUGUACGGAACGAAAAGGUUUCUCUUAAUACGAGGAGCUCAUGACGGUACCGUAAGAAUAAGCACCGGCUAACUACGUG
rnacentral:rRNA from 1 species